rnacentral:rRNA from 1 species
CGUGCCUACGGGACGCAGCAGUGGGGAAUAUUGCACAAUGGGGGAAACCCUGAAGCAGCAACGCCGCGUGAAGGAAGACGGUUUUCGGAUUGUAAACUUCUUUUCUUAGUGAAGAAGCAAGUGACGGUAGCUAAGGAAUAAGCAUCGGCUAACUACGUGCCAGCAGCCGCGGUAAUACGUAGGAUGCGAGCGUUAUCCGGAAUUACUGGGUGUAAAGGGAGCGCAGGCGGGACUGCAAGUUGGGUGUGAAAUACCGCAGCUUAACUGCGGGGCUGGAUCCCAAACUGUAGUUCUUGAGUGGAGUG